CCUACGGGUGGCAGCAGUGAGGAAUAUUGGUCAAUGGACGAGAGUCUGAACCAGCCAAGUAGCGUGAAGGAUGACUGCCCUAUGGGUUGUAAACUUCUUUUAUAUGGGAAUAAAAUGUUCCACGUGUGGGAUUUUGUAUGUACCAUAUGAAUAAGGAUCGGCUAACUCCGUGCCAGCAGCCGCGGUAAUAAGGAGGAUCCGAGCGUUAUCCGGAUUUAUUGGGUUUAAAGGGAGCGUAGGUGGAUGGUUAAGUCAGUUGUGAAAGUUUGCGGCUCAACCGUAAAAUUGCAGUUGAAACUGGCAGUCUUGAGUACAGUAGAGGUGGGCGGAAUUCGUGGUGUAGCGGUGAAAUGCUUAGAUAUCACGAAGAACUCCGAUUGCGAAGGCAGUUCACUGGACUGCAACUGACACUGAGGCUCGAAAGUGUGGGUAUCAAACAGGACUAGAUACCCUAGUAGUC
rnacentral:rRNA from 1 species